rnacentral:rRNA from 1 species
UACGGAGGGUGCAAGCGUUGUCCGGAUUUAUUGGGCUUAAAGGGUGCGUAGGCGGCUUUUUAAGUCAGUGGUGAAAUCCAGCAGCUUAACUGUUGAAUUGCCAUUGAUACUGGAGAGCUUGAGUACAGACGAGGUAGGCGGAAUUUAUGGUGUAGCGGUGAAAUGCAUAGAUACCAUAAAGAACACCGAUUGCGAAGGCAGCUUACUAGGCUGUAACUGACGCUGAGGCACGAAAGUGUGGGGAUCAAACAGG